AAAACGAAUCCAGAAGUGUCAGCCUGUCGUGUGAGGCUCUCCUUGUUUUGGUGAACAAACCUCUGUGAAGACCUGAGGGUCUACCAGCAAAUGUUCUUGGAACAAGGGUGCAGAAAAGGCACAAUAUUGUUGUUCCUUGACUACACUAAUAUUAAUGCUUUCUAGGCACAUUGCUGUUUGUCUCCUGGAUUAUUCCUGCUGAAUGUCUUGUAGCCACCCCCCCUUCCAAUUCACUGCUGUCUGGCAAUUCCAGCGUCCUAAUGCUGGAUUUAUUCCAGAUGUUGCACAUCCUGUGUUUGACUUGACCGGAGGACACAAACGGCAGAUUUCAUUUUAAUUUCUUCAGUAAUCACCAAAAUCUAUUGUGUAUAUGCAACAAUCUUUUGAUUUUCAUGUAGUUAACAUCAACCUGACAACAUCAACUUAACAUUUACUAUGUCUCCUAGGUGAGGUAGAGUUGGAUGUCAUGUUGUCCUGUUCUUUGAUUUACACAUCCUUCCCCAACCGACUGUCCUGAUCACGGACAACUUCAGCACUCAUCUAGUUGAGGAGCACUUUACCAGCACCUGCGUCCACUGAUCCUACUGUUCCUUCCAUGUCUUUCAACCUCAACAGAUGUGGCAGCAACUUUUAACCUACACUAUGGAUCAGCAGCUCUUCCAGUUAACCAGCGGAGUAGUCCUCUAUCCUGUCCGACUCCAUAAAGGACUGAUCUAGUAAGCAGAGGGCCACUUCCUAUAAAGGAAAAGUUCACAUGCCCUAAACCUGAUGGCCGACAUUUCC